GUUACGUGGCGCUGAAUCCGGCCACCUACAGC
rnacentral:scRNA from 1 species